rnacentral:tRNA from 1 species
AUUAUUUUGGCAGAAUAGUGCAUUAGAUUUAGAAUCUAAAAAUGUAAGUUUACAGAUAAUA